rnacentral:rRNA from 1 species
GACGAACGCUGGCGGCGUGCUUAACACAUGCAAGUCGAACGGAGGCGCGAACGGGUGAGUAACACGUGUGUGACCUGCCCUGCACUUCGGGAUAAGCCUGGGCAACUGGGUCUACUACCGGAUAGUGCGGGAUGGGCCCGCGGCCUAUCAGCUUGUUGGUGGGGUAAUGGCCUACCAAGGCGGCGACGGGUAGCCGGCCUGAGAGGGGGGCCGGCCACAUUGGGACUGGGAUACCGCCCAGACUCCUACGGGAGGCAGGAGUGGGGAAUAUUGCACGAUGGGCGGAAGCCUGAUGCAGCGACGCCGCGUGGGGGAUGACGGCCUUCGGGUUGUAAACUCCUUUCACCAUCGACGCGGUAGAGGGAGAAGAAGCACCGGCUAACUCCGUGCCAGCAGCCGCGGUAAUAC